AGCUCCAUGCAAUGGCAGUAUUGUAGCUACCAAAGGUUUAUCUGAGGCACAAUUAUUGAUAAUUGAAAA
rnacentral:snRNA from 1 species